CCUACGGGUGGCAGCAGUGGGGAAUAUUGCACAAUGGGGGAAACUCUGAUGCAGCGAAGCCGCGUGAGCGAUGACGGAUUUCGGUAUUUAAAACUGUAUCAGCAGGGAAGUAAAUGACGGUACCUGACUAACAAGCCCCGGCUAACUACGGACCAGCAGCCGCCGUAAUACGUAGGGGGCAAGCGUUAUCCGGAUUUACUGGGUGUAAAGGGAGCGUAGACGGGCCUGCAAGUCAGAUGUGAAAGCCCGGGGCUCAACCCCGGGAUUGCAGUUGGAACUGGAGGGCUAGAGUGUCGGAGAGGAAGGCGGAAUUCCUAGUGUAGCGGUGAAAUGCGUAGAUAUUAGGAGGAACACCAGUGGCGAAGGCG
rnacentral:rRNA from 1 species